CUGGGUUCUGUUGGAGUCUCCUCCCACCCCAGGUGUGAGCACUUGGCUCUCCCUGCCCACUCCCUAUUUAAUGGGCCCCAGAAAAGGCAGUGCCUAAGCUUGCCCAGCUGGGCAGAGGGAUCCUCCUGAUCCUGUCAUCUCUGCUUAAUAGGGGCAGGCUCCUGAUACCAUAUGUGUUCUGUGGAACCAAGGGAACAUGAAGAGUAGAUGAACAAUGCCUCAAAGACUUCAUAACAAGAUGGUUUAGAUAUGGCUAUGUUUACUAGUCUGCUGAUAAGUUUUAAAGAUAAAUGGAAUCCAAUAUUGUAAUCAUUCUUAAGCAUGUACACUUGUUAUGUGCAUUUUCUUUGUUUCUCCCUUUUUCCCCUUCCUUUUUCAACAAAAGAAAUUAAUCAGUCCUACAAAAACAUUUGUAACACCCAAACCAUCACAGGCAGCAUUAUCAUGUUGUAGUUCCAAGACUGUAAGCAUUUGCAGCACUGUCUUUCAUGUCUAGUAGAUAUUUAGCUUGCAUUUAAAGGAUUUUUCAUCUUCAAAUAGGCAGUUACAGUUUAAAGCUGUUCUUGUUAUAUUGUGUCUAUGUAAUCCAGAGCUUCGCUGGAAAAUCAUAGCAAAAUAAAUGCAUUUCCUAAUUA